rnacentral:rRNA from 1 species
AUUGAACGCUGGCGGCAUGCCUUACACAUGCAAGUCGAACGGCAGCGGGGGAGAAGCUUGCUUUUCCUGCCGGCGAGUGGCGAACGGGUGAGUAAUACAUCGGAACGUGCCCUGUAGUGGGGGAUAACUAGUCGAAAGAUUAGCUAAUACCGCAUACGACCUGAGGGUGAAAGUGGGGGACCGCAAGGCCUCAUGCUAUAGGAGCGGCCGAUGUCUGAUUAGCUAGUUGGUGGGGUAAAGGCCUACCAAGGCGACGAUCAGUAGCUGGUCUGGGAGGACGAUCAGCCAGACUGGGACUGAGACACGGCCCAGACUCCUACGGGAGGCAGCAGUGGGGAAUUUUGGACAAUGGGCGAAAGCCUGAUCCAGCAAUGCCGCGUGUGUGAAGAAGGCCUUCGGGUUGUAAAGCACUUUUGUCCGGAAAGAAAUGGCUCUGGUUAAUACCUGGGGUCGAUGACGGUACCGGAAGAAUAAGGACCGGCUAACUACAUGCCAGCAGCCGCCGUAACAC